rnacentral:rRNA from 1 species
AAGUUUGAUCAUGGCUCAGGAUGAACGCUGGCGGCGUGCCUAACACAUGCAAGUCGAACGGACUUACAUUGAAGCCUAGCGAUAUGUAAGUUAGUGGCGGACGGGUGAGUAACGCGUGGGUAACCUGCCUUGUACUGGGGGACAACAGUUGGAAACGACUGCUAAUACCGCAUAAGCGCACAGCUUCGCAUGAAGCAGCGUGAAAAACUCCGGUGGUACAAGAUGGACCCGCGUCUGAUUAGCUGGUUGGUGAGGUAACGGCCCACCAAGGCGACGAUCAGUAGCCGGCCUGAGAGGGUGAACGGCCACAUUGGGACUGAGACACGGCCCAAACUCCUACGGGAGGCAGCAGUGGGGAAUAUUGCACAAUGGGGGAAACCCUGAUGCAGCAACGCCGCGUGAGUGAAGAAGUAUUUCGGUAUGUAAUGCUCUAUCAGCAGGAAAGAAAAUGACGGUACCUGACUAAGAAGCCCCGGCUAACUACGUGCCAGCAGCCGCGGUAAUACGUAGGGGGCAAGCGUUAUCCGGAUUUACUGGGUGUAAAGGGAGCGUAGACGGUUUUGCAAGUCUGAAGUGAAAGCCCGGGGCUUAACCCCGGGACUGCUUUGGAAACUGUAGGACUAGAGUGCAGGAGAGGUAAGUGGAAUUCCUAGUGUAGCGGUGAAAUGCGUAGAUAUUAGGAGGAACACCAGUGGCGAAGGCGGCUUACUGGACUGUAACUGACGUUGAGGCUCGAAAGCGUGGGGAGCAAACAGGAUUAGAUACCCUGGUAGUCC